rnacentral:rRNA from 1 species
AGCAGUAGCCACGGUAAUACAGAGGGUGCGAGCGUUAAUCGGAUUUACUGGGCGUAAAGCGUGCGUAGGCGGCUUCUUAAGUCGGAUGUGAAAUCCCUGAGCUUAACUUAGGAAUUGCAUUCGAUACUGGGAAGCUAGAGUAUGGGAGAGGAUGGUAGAAUUCCAGGUGUAGCGGUGAAAUGCGUAGAGAUCUGGAGGAAUACCGAUGGCGAAGGCAGCCAUCUGGCCUAAUACUGACGCUGAGGUACGAAAGCAUGGGGAGCAAACAGGAUUAGAUACCCGGGUAGUCCCUGUCUCUUAUAC